UCUCAUGGAGCUGCUGUCCCCUCUCUGCCCACCAGGUACCGGUGUCCUCACCCACCUACAAAAGUAUGCAGACUUGUAGUUUAGGCUUUUCUUUUUUGGUGCUAAUUUUUGUCUCUCUCUGCGUGACCUACCGCCUCUUUGUGACUCACAGGGCCUUGACCUUGAGCGCAGACUCUGAAUCCCAUUCAUCUUUGUCUGACCUCCUCCAAGCCUGAAAAUCAAGUCUAAGUCUUGACACCGUGAUCUCUCCAAAGACCCAUUUCAUAUUUGCAGCUUAACCAGCUCAGUGAAUGAAGUAACUGGAAUUUCCUGCUGGCCCAAAGCGGAGGAACUUGCAGUGUGAUGUUCAUGUGGCUUCUCCCCUUUUCAGUACGCGGACUUGAUCGUAAUCCUUAGUGUAAAGAGUAAAUGGAAGCCGGUUGAUGGAUUGUAGGGUGGGAGGGGAGAUGUUGGUGUAACCCACUUGGAGAUGUCAGCAGCUGUGGAGGAAAUGCUGUCUCUCUUAGAACCACUUCAUAUGCAGCCUGGAAUAGCUGGUUUUCCUGCUGGAAAAGCUUAGCUCUACUUGAACUACCUGACAACCAGGAGAGUUCAAGUUUACAGUCCUUAUUUAAUGCGAGGGAGAUUGCCUGCUAGAAUACAUCUUUCUUUAAGCUGUGAAGUUAUGGUGCGAUGGUUUUACAUUUUAUAAUUCGUCUCUUUGAUUGUGCUGUCAACACUUUCUUAUAAGUUGUGGAUAGUUCCCAACCAGGGAGAGUCUUCCCGCCCCCCAACUUCAACCAAAAAAAAAGGGGGGGGGGAAUCAAAGUGGUCUCAUAAAGUUGUUGGACAUAAGCAGAAUAUUUCUGCUUAAUGUGAAUAAUGAUCUCAUGCAUCAGGAUAUACUGUCCUAGUGGAAUGUCACGGUCAUCUCGGUAAUCACUAGUUGCUUCUAUGCUUUUUCUGUGUCGAGUGUCUGUGUGUGGGUGAAAGAGAAUUUCACCCUUGAGGAAUGAUGUGAUGAGGCAGAUCUACUAGGUAAACUGAUCUAUUGUGGGAAUUAAGAAACAAGAAAAAAACUCCCUGACGGUCAUGAACUCCUCCUGCGCUAGUUUUGUUUUACAUUUAAACAUAUCACUUUUCACCAAUAGCCAAAAUCCCCUAAAUUCCCUAAAUCAACCAAGGUUGUCCUAAGGGACUGUAAUAACUCUUUUGAAAACUUUUCACAAGUUUUAAAAUCUUCUGAACCUUAAAUGACUUUGCUUUCAUACUAGAAAACCUGGCUCAUCAUUUUUUUUUUUUAUGACCAAGGAAGAAGGCUUUUAUUGAAUGUAAUUAUGUCUGAGAGUAGAAGUCCGUGUACAGAGAAGAGAGUUGAACUAUGAAGACAUUAGUUUUUGUGGUUUUUCACCUUCACACACUUUUUAUAUGCGAACAAGCAGUGAGACACCUAUGUAUUCAUUUCAUUUAGCUUCUGUUAGGAUUCUUCUUAAAAGGUGCGCCAACUCCUGUUCCUGUAAAAGCUACAUUUUAAAAAGUCAUUUUGGUACUUUUUAGGCAGGUCUUCAGAAGAACAUACUUCAUUGGAAUGGACAUGUAGACAUGAGUUGGAGUUAUCUGUAAUGGCCAUCAAUUUCAUGAACUCUUUUUAAAAAAUUGCAUUUUUCAGUUUCAGUUUACAUUCAGUAUUAUUUUGUAUUAGUUUCAGGUGUAUAUUUCAUAAGUUCUUAACAAGAGAGGAAGUCGAAUCUGAGAGAGUUGAGGUGAUUUGCCCCAGGUUGUGUGGUUAGAGUGGGUCAUCUGCUGUCCCACUGUUUAUGAUCAUGUGGAAAUGGGAAACAAAGUUCAAAUGCAUUUAAUAAACAGGCCCAAGGAUAACUCUGUUAAUUUCACUCCUUCGUGUCAGAUAAAACUUUUUAAUGAGUCUCCCAAGGAGCAAGUAGCAAAACUGAGCAGCUUACGGAAGCCAGAGUGCAGCAGGAGACUUCAUAUUUCACUACUUGAUGGGUUUCUACCAAUAAUAAAGGGAAUGAACCUUCUGUGUAAGGUGCUUGUCCGAGUUUUAAAGACAGAGGAGACUUCACUUCCAGGAACAGGUUGCGGGUUGUUUUUGUGCCUCCCUGCUGAUAAAUGUUUGUAUUUCUGGUGAAACUGGCACAAGACUUGCUUUUAUUGAAACAUACCACAUACUAGGGAGGAUGUUGGUGCAGGAAUAUGGUCUCCACCCUCCUCUCAUCCCCAGAAGGUCCCUAAAUGUAUUAACAGAAACUGACAGCUGAGCAGAGGCACCUCAGGUUAGGGAGGCCUUGUGAGAUGAAGCAGUGUGCCCCAUACUUGCUUGACCUUAAGAAUGGCCUGGAACGCGUUUUAAAGUUACGGGUUCCCAGACCCUUCCAAAGCCCUUGCUAGAGUGUCCAGUGUGUUUAACAAGUGCAGCCACUGUGUUUUUCAAGCUCUCUGAGAAGUAUUGAAAUAAACGGGAAAGCUCAUUGACUUGAGAAUCUGGAGCCUUGAGUCUGGCUUCACCUCUGCCAUUUUCUAAUGCAGAUUUUGAGCAAUUUAUUCACCACCAUCAGGCCUUAGUUUCCUUAUAUGUAAAAUAGAGACUUUGACUAAAUUUACCUCUAUUGGCGUUUUCACUUUUGGCAUUUAAUAAUUCUAAUGAGGGGUUACUAUUUGAUAACAACAGUAGCUCAAGUGGCCUUGUAUGGAUAUGACUUUGAUUAAUAAUCCUUCUCUGAUUACUGUGAUUAGGAAUUAAAAAAAAUCUUUGUGGCCUGGCCAUGAUGGUUGAGCAUCAACCUAUGAACCAGUAGGUCGAAGUUGGAUUCCCAGUCAGGGCACAUAACCGGGUUGCGGACUCUAUCCUCAGGGUGGGAUGUGCAGGAGGCAGCCAAUCAAUGAUUUUCUCUCAUCAUUGAUGUCUCUCUCUCUCUCCCUUUCCCUUCCUCUCUCAGAAAUCAAUUCAUAUAAAAAUCUUUGUGCCUGAAAUAAACUCAUUAUGACUA